rnacentral:tRNA from 1 species
GUUUUAAUAGUUUAAAGAAAACGUCGGUCUUGUAAGUCGAUGAUGGAGCCUCUCCUUAAAACU